GAAACAACAAACAACAAAAUGACAACCACAGAAAUGAUAAACUCUUGCACUUUCCUUCAGAAAAGGAAAAAAUGUUUUUUCUUCAGAAUAACAUGUUUUUAUUAUUAUAUUAUAUUUGCAAUUAUGUGUCAACACAGACUUCCUGAUGUUUAUAUUUAUGGGCAACGGGGUGGAGCUGUGGCCUCAGCUCUGACGUCAGACCGCUCCCAUCUGAGAGAGCUGCACCUGAUUUCAGUCACUGUGCUGGAGCCAGCAGAUGAACUUUUUGCUUGUCUGGGGCAUCCAAACUGUAGACUGGAGACACUCAGCUUUGAGAACGUCACUUUGUCAGAGAACAGCUGUGCUGCUCUGCUCAGUGCUCUGAAGUCCAACCCCCCCUAUCUGAAACGUCUGGAUCUAAUAGGAUGCAACCUGGAGGGCGCAGGGAUGAAACAACUGUAUUAUUACCUGGAGAGUCCACACUGUAAACUACAGUUUAAAAGAGUGACUUCAGUUUAGACACUGCACUGUGUCAUCCACACACUGGUGAUGGCAAGCUACAUUGUAGCCACAGCCACCCU